GAAAAAGUUGUUGACUAUAUAUGUUAAAUAAUAUAAAACUGAAAGUAUAUAUUUUGUAGAUAUUUACAUGAUUCUCAACGACUCAACGUUACCGAACGAACCACGUGAACCGAAAAAAAAAAAAAAGAAGAAGCAAGAAUUAGGUCUAUAAUUUAAUAAAGCCAUACCAACAAGAAUAUAUAUCAGAAGUAGAAAAAUGCAUGGCAUCAGGGUGACGUCAUUUCCCGUCGACAUUACGCAAACA
rnacentral:lncRNA from 1 species